AGUGAACGCUGGCGGUAGGCUUAACACAUGAAAGUCGAACGGCACCACAUUAAGACCUUGCUCUUCCGGGUGGCGAGUGCCGGCCGGGUGAGGAAUCCAUCGGAAUCUAUUUUUUCGUGGGGGUUACCGUAGGUAAACUUACCCUAUUCCCGCAUACGCCCUACGGGGGAAAGCAGGGGAUCUUCGAACCUUCCGCGCUUGAUUGCCCCGAUGUUGGAUCAGCUGUUUGGCGGGUUAAAGGCCCACCACGGCGACGGUCCGUAGCUGGUCUGCGAGGAUGGUCAGCCACACUGGAACUGGAACACGGUCCAGACUCCUGCGGGAGGCAGCAGUGGGGAAUAUUGGGCAAUGGGCGGAAGCCUGAUCCAGCCAUACCGGCGGGGUGGAGAAGGCAUUCGGGUUGUAAAGCCCUUUUGUUGGGAAAGAAAAGCAGCAGGUUAAGACCACGCUGUUCUGACGGUACCCAAAGAAUAAGCACCGGCUAACUUCGUG
rnacentral:rRNA from 1 species